rnacentral:rRNA from 1 species
CUACGUGCCAGCAGCCGCGGUAAUACGUAUGUCACAAGCGUUAUCCGGAUUUAUUGGGCGUAAAGCGCGUCUAGGCGGUUAAUUAAGUCUGAUGUGAAAAUGCGGAGCUCAACUCCGUAUUGCGUUGGAAACUGGUUAACUAGAGUACUGGAGAGGUAAGCGGAACUACAAGUGUAGAGGUGAAAUUCGUAGAUAUUUGUAGGAAUGCCGAUGGGGAAGCCAGCUUACUGGACAGAUACUGACGCUAAAGCGCGAAAGCGUGGGUAGCAAACAGGAUUAGAUACCCUGGUAGUCCACGCUGUAAACGAUGAUUACUAGGUGUUGGGGGUCGAACCUCAGCGCCCAAGCWAACGCGAUAAGUAAUCCGCCUGGGGAGUACGUACGCAAGUAUGAAACUCAAAGGAAUUGACGGGGACCCGCACAAGCGGUGGAGCAUGUGGUUUAAUUCGACGCAACGCGAGGAACCUUACCAGCGUUUGACAUC